AUGCCUAUCCAUUCCGUCCACCCGUCGAUUGAUCCGCCGGAGUCGGUUCAUAUUAUUUUUCUCGAAGAUCAUCGUCAAUGGAGUCCCGGGCCAUUAGUCCCAGUAAGACAGCGCUGCCGCACGCGUAUGCGCUGCUGGCCCCGUCCGAGGCCAUGGAGGAGCGCCGGAGCGGGGCCGGGGCGAGGUGCGCCCGUGCAUGGUGGUGCUGGUGGAGUGGUGGUGGGCGGCGAUGUGGUGGAGGACAUGUCGUGGCUGGCAGAGACGGCGGGGUGUCUAGGCAGGGAAGCCGGCGUGUCGGAGAAGACCUGCAGGGCGGUGGAUGAGAUGGGGUUCCUCGCCGCCGGCGCUGACGCUGACGGGAUCCCCUGGAGCAAAGCCAUGCUCCAGUGGCAACACACCGGCUUCCAUUUCCAGCCCGAGAAAAACUGGAUGAAUGGUGCACAUAAGUGA
rnacentral:rRNA from 1 species